ACCAGGUAAUUUCUCAGGAUAUAACCAGGUUAUAACCUGGUUAUAACCAGGUAAUGUCUCAGGUUAUAACCAGGUUAUAACCUGGUUAUAACCAGGUAAUGUCU